UUUCUGGAAUCCUAGAGGAUGCACGGAUACAAUUCACCCAAUGUGUCCAUCUCUCCUCUCCUAAGUGUCAGUCUAUAGGUUUCUGACCUCUAGAGGGUAAGCAACUUGCCCGAGAUCCCCUAGCUGGUCUGAGCAGCAAAGCCUUUGAACGCAGUUUUGACUCUGGAGCUGCAUUCUUCAUUCUUAUCCUACACUUGCUUGUGAAUUCUUUUUCGUCCUUCCAGAAUCCCUGAAGCUGUACAGCUAUACUUUACCGGUUACGUCUAGACUAUAAAGGACCACAGUGUUCCACCUCAGGCAGGUUCAGCGACCUGCAAGUAGUGAUACAGCUGGGAAAGUUACAGAGCCUGCGGGAAGCUCCGGCUGCAACUUCAGUUCUGACCAGAGGUUCUGUGAACCUUCAGGAUUUAGCAGGUUUCCAGGACCGGCUAUAGACAUUCCUAAGAAACACGCAGUCAGCUUUUGGUGAGAGUGGAAUCAAGCUAUGGAAUUCUCAUUUGGAAUCUGCUUCCAGUUUCUGAACAGUGAAGCGGGAGAGUUCUGAACAGUAAAGCAGGAGCUCUGUAUUCAGCGAGACUCUGGGGCCUGGAAAGUGGGAUUACAGCAUCCAUUUUGUCUAAUUGCUUUCCUUCUUUCUUUUAUGUGGCUGCUAAAGCCCCAUGACCUUCACUAUUUAACUGCUUCAUCAGAGUGAAAGAAUUGCCUUGAUGUUCAUAAGGAUUACUUGUUUCACACUGACCUUUAAAAAGUUGUCACUCACUAGAUUUUUCAGUGCAUGGUUGAGGUCACUGGACAGUGUUCUUUAAUCAGUUUUGGUGGCAUUUGUUGCCUAUUUGAGGUGGAGACUUUCUUUUAAUUGCUUUAAUCAAUUAAUGCAUUGCUUUGAUAGGAUUCUGCAUGGGGUGGAAUAUUAUUGGCCUUUGUUCAGAUAAGCUUGUGCCAGGGAAUCCUCCAUCAGUAU
ensembl:lncRNA PDZRN3-AS1 PDZRN3 antisense RNA 1